UUUUAUGGAGAGUUUGAUCCUGGCUCAGGAUGAACGCUGGCGGCGUGCCUAAUACAUGCAAGUCGAGCGAACAGAUGAGGAGCUUGCUCCUCUGACGUUAGCGGCGGACGGGUGAGUAACACGUGGAUAACCUACCUAUAAGACUGGGAUAACUACGGGAAACCGGAGCUAAUACCGGAUAAUAUAUUGAACCGCAUGGUUCAAUAGUGAAAGACGGUUUUGCUGUCACUUAUAGAUGGAUCCGCGCCGCAUUAGCUAGUUGGUAAGGUAACGGCUUACCAAGGCAACGAUGCGUAGCCGACCUGAGAGGGUGAUCGGCCACACUGGAACUGAGACACGGUCCAGACUCCUACGGGAGGCAGCAGUAGGGAAUCUUCCGCAAUGGGCGAAAGCCUGACGGAGCAACGCCGCGUGAGUGAUGAAGGUCUUCGGAUCGUAACACUCUGUUAUUAGGGAAGAACAAAUGUGUCAGUAACUAUGCACGUCUUGACGGUACCUAAUCAGAAAGCCA
rnacentral:rRNA from 1 species